rnacentral:rRNA from 1 species
UUUUGCCUGCUAAAUAGUAUGCCUGUCCUCUGUGCUCGUUCAGGUCACGAUAUAGGCUGCCUCCUUGUGGGGUAGCGGAGUCGUUGUCCGACGGGUGCGGCGCAGGUAAUU